rnacentral:rRNA from 1 species
GAUUGAACGCUGGCGGCAGGCCUAACACAUGCCAAGUCGAGCGGCAGCACGGGUACUUGUACCUGGUGGCGAGCGGCGGACGGGUGAGUAAUGCCUAGGAAUCUGCCUGGUAGUGGGGGAUAACGCUCGGAAACGGACGCUAAUACCGCAUACGUCCUACGGGAGAAAGCAGGGGACCUUCGGGCCUUGCGCUAUCAGAUGAGCCUAGGUCGGAUUAGCUAGUUGGUGAGGUAAUGGCUCACCAAGGCGACGAUCCGUAACUGGUCUGAGAGGAUGAUCAGUCACACUGGAACUGAGACACGGUCCAGACUCCUACGGGAGGCAGCAGUGGGGAAUAUUGGACAAUGGGCGAAAGCCUGAUCCAGCCAUGCCGCGUGUGUGAAGAAGGUCUUCGGAUUGUAAAGCACUUUAAGUUGGGAGGAAGGGCAGUUACCUAAUACGUAUCUG